UACGUAGGGUGCGAGCGUUGUCCGGAAUUAUUGGGCGUAAAGAGCUUGUAGGCGGUUUGUCGCGUCUGCUGUGAAAAUCCGGGGCUCAACCCCGGACUUGCAGUGGGUACGGGCAGACUAGAGUGUGGUAGGGGAGACUGGAAUUCCUGGUGUAGCGGUGGAAUGCGCAGACUAUCGGGAGGAACACCAGUAGCGAAGGCGGCACUCUGGGCCGGAACUGACGCUGAGGCGCGAAAGCGUGGGGAGCGAUCCGG
rnacentral:rRNA from 1 species